AAGCCCUAGAGCUGUGAGUACCGAUCUCUUAAGGCUGCCACCUGGAAGACGUGACUUUCUGUUGUGAAAUCUUCCUUCUUCUUUAGCACCUGAAGAAAACAGAGACAUUCCACGGGCCCGGACUGGGUGCUGAAAUAGAGUGGAAAGGAAACUAGGCAGAUAGGGCGCUAACCUCACACAGCCUGCAGUCUAGCCGGAAAGACAGACAUUGACUACAGCCCAUGAAUGCACAGUGACAAGGAGGUUAGAUGCUCUCUCAGAGGCAAAAGCUCAUGAGAACAUAUGACAGUUAAAUUUGAACAGUUAAACCUUUGGGGCGGGGAACUAGAAAGGCCAUAUCUUGCGGAAGUGGUGUCUGAGUUCUUAUCCGAAGUUGGUACGAGUGAAAAAAGUAAAACUAGGUGAAGGAUGGGGCAGGAAGUUGCAGGCAAAAGGAGCUGCUUGCGCAAGGCCCCUGUGUCGGGAGUAUAAUGAGAACAGCAUGCCAACCUCCCAGGGCUGUGGGAGGAUUCCUGUGCAUUCAUACAUGUCAGUGUCUCUUCACCACCACGAGGGGGCAGCACUGCCUGAUGUGGCUGGGGAGGUGGGCAUGGCCAGAGCACACCAGUUUUGUAGCUGCUUCUGCUAGGUGUGGAAUGCCUCCAGAUGGUUUCAAAAGUACCACAGUGACCUGAUUCGAUUUUUAUUUGCUUUUGAAAGUUUACUCCCUUAAAAAUAUAAAUGCGUGAAGAAUGAAUUGGAGAAGAAUGGGUAUGUGCAAAUCAGAUGAGGUCAGUGAAGAAGUCUGGAUCAGAGAUGUGUCUGGCUUAGAGGCUCCUGGGUAUUGCCAGUAUAUGUUGAUUUCAACCCUCACGAGUUCUUGCAUUUCAAGAACCUGUAAUAGCACAGAUAAGGAAAACCUCAAAUUUUAUAUGUAGCUAUUUCCAUUCUUAUUGGAAAUCCAAACAUAUCAACCAGUAAUUCCAAGGAUAGUUCCUUUCCUUAAUAAAUUUUCUUUCUGUGAAAAGGAUUUGCUUCAUUUUGCUUUUAGCAGCCAGAGUAGCCCUGAUAUAUUUCAAAUAGGAGUUGAUGUGCCGCACACCCAAGUUUCUGUUAACAUAGGCUGUGCAUUCAACAACGUGACUCUUACAGGCUGCAAAGUAUAGAAAGCAUGCAUGUAGGGCCCACCCGGCAUGGUCACUGGCGUGGGCUAUGCCUGCGCCUUCGCUCAUGUCCAUGUUGGCUGCCCGACUGCUGCAGUCUGUGCACAGAUGCUCCCUCCACCCUCGCCCCUUCCACCUCGUGGCAGUUCGAAAUGAAGCCGUGGUCAUUUCUAGAAGGAAACUGGCCCAGCAGAUCAACCAGGAAGGACAGCAGGAGGUGGAAGAGUGGGUGGCCUCAGGCAAUAAGCGGCCACACCUGAGCAUGAUCCUCUUUGUCCAGAAUCCUGCAAUCACUCCUAUGUCCUCAACAAAACCAGAGCAGCAGCAGAUGUGGGAAUCAACAGGGAGACAGUUGUGAAACCGGCUUCAAUUUCAGAGGAAGAAUUGUUGAAUUUAAUCAAUAAACUGAAUAAUGAUGAUAACAUAGAUGGCCUCCUUGUUCAACUGCCUCUUCCAGAGCAUAUUGACGAGAGAAAGAUCUGCAGUGCUGUUUCUCCAGACAAGGAUGUUGAUGUCAUGUAAUUAAUGUAGGGCAAAUGUGUUUGGACCAGGAUUCCAUGUUACCGGCUACUCCAUGGGGUGUGUGGGAAAUAAUCAAGCGAACUGGCAUUCCAACCCAGCUGGAAGAAUGUGCUUGGCUGGAGGGUUAAAAAAUGUUGGAAUGCCCAUUGCAAUGUUACUGCACACAGACAGGGCACAUGAACAUCCCAGAGGUGAUGCCACUGUUACAAUAUCUCAUCGAUAUACUCCCAAACAGCAGUUGAAGAAGCAUACAAUUCUUGCAGAUAUUGUAAUAUCCGCUGCAGGCAUUCCAAAUCUGAUCACAGCAGAUAUGAUCAAGGAAGGAGCAGCAGUUAUUGAUGUGGGAAUAAAUAGAGUUCACGAUCCCAUAACUGCCAAACCCAAGUUGGUUGGAGAUGUGGAUUUUGAAGGAGUCAGACAAAAAGCUGGUUAUAUCACUCCAGUUCCUGGACUUGUUGUCCCCAUGACAGUGGCAAUGCUAAUGAAGAAUACCAUUAUUGCUGCAAAAAAGGUGCUGAGGCUUGAAGAGUGAGAAGUGGUGAAGCCUAAAGAGGUUGGAGUAGCCAGUAAUUAACUAUUGUGACUUAUGUGUCACGGACAACACUCCAAGCCAGCUUAAGAAGCAAAGCAGGCCAAUAGAAAUGCAAUAUUUUUAGUUUAUUCCACUGAAAUUGUUUAAAAUGAUGCUUUGUAUUUAUUAAAAGCUUAAAUGGGUGG